UAGGUCUGUAUGAGCUCAAAAAACAAAAUAGAACUUCAUGAUGUGGAAAAGGGCAAUAAUAAAAUAGAUAUUGAAAAAAGCAUCCUGGUUCUGUUGCAGAUGUAAGGAUAGCCAAACUGGAGUUCUGGAUAUAAGCUGUUAUGGAUUUGAGCCAAAUCAUCUUCUUUUUGGUCUGUAGAAAUCGCUUUUCUGGAAUCCAUAUCAGCUGCUGUUCUCCCUGUGGAAACACGCAAACAGACCCCUGACUCCAGACAAUCACUGGGUCAGGACCUUAGUUAAUCUCUCUGGAAUCCAAAUCGGCUGCUGUUCUCCCUGUGGAAACAC
rnacentral:lncRNA from 1 species